rnacentral:lncRNA from 1 species
AAGUGCACUUAAAUCUUUACCUUUAAAGACAUCCUCCACACGACUCUCUGAUCGAGGUAAGGUAUAUCUGAUUCUAUGCCCUUUCUCUUAAGUUGGUCCAUAGAACCUCCACUACAGGGAUUAUGGAUUAUUUUAUCUACCACCUGAUUUAUGAAAUCUUUAUCUGCAUGAAAUGGUAAUUUAUCGCAAUCUAGCCUCAUAAGACUGAAUACAUAGUAUAUAUAAUUUUGAUACAAAUACCGACUUUGCCAUUCAUGCUCACAUAUUGCUAUAAACCAUAUAAUUUAAAACACAAACAUGCAGUCUCCAAUUACUCUAUUUUCAAAAUCAGUAUUCAAUUUUUCAGAAAAUUUAUAAAAUCACAAUUUCUCCUAAAACAUAGCAAUUUACCAUUUAAACUCAUUUUCUAUAAAAUCACACAAUUGUAUAAAACUACUCUAGAUAAUUAAGACGAUAAUAAGUUUACUCACAAUUCUAGGAGUCGAUGUACUCCUAAUCCCAAUCUUCAAGCACAAUUUCUGUACUUUUACCAGUAUAAUUUGCUCACCACCUAUCCACAAUGUACAAUACAUAAUUCACCACAUUAAUGCUUGACCAUUAUAAAAUCAAUUCAAGCUCGGUGUAUAUGCAUGAUAUGAUAUGUAACUUAUCCGACUACCGCUUAAAUGCGGUGCUAACCUAAUUCGGCCUAUUACCCGAUUAAAUGACAAUUGUGUCCGAUUUGGCUCCAAAUUGCUUCAUUUCAUUUCUAAUAUUUCAAUUCACUAAAUAAAAUUUUAAUAAUCUAAAAUUCAGCCUAACAACCCUCACAAUUCUUCUUGAAAAUUUCGGCCAUUGUGGUGCACUAUCACUAAAAAUUUUACCAUUCUAUUUUCUCACCAUAAAUCAUCAUUUCAUCAAUUUUUUAACCAAUUUACUUGAUCACAAAAUCAAUUCAUUACUUUUACACUUCACAUAGGGUUCGGCCAUUGAAGGUUCAUGGGGAAAAUAGAUUCUUUUCUUAUUGUUUUGUUUCUAAACAUGCUUAAUUAACUCUAAACACCAACAUAACUCAAAAUCAAACAAUUCCAACAUCAUUUCUUUCACCAAAGCCAUUCGGUCAGCCAUGAUUGCCCCAUGAAAACAUACAAUCCAACCAUGAAAAUUAAGGAGAAAUGCAUGGGUAAGGUAGAUCACUAGCAAAAUCAAAGAAAUUUUACCUUUGCUUGAUCAAAUCCUUGAAUUCCAACACUUUCUCUUUGAUUUUUCCCACCUAGGGUUUGUUCUUCCUUGGUUUCUCUUCUCUUCUGGUUUG